GAGAAGGUGGCUGAGUGGUUAAAGCGACAGACUGUAAAUCUGUUGAUUUAUUCAUCGUAGGUUCGAUUCCUACCCUUCUCA
rnacentral:tRNA from 1 species